AACGAACGCUGGCGGCAUGCCUAACACAUGCAAGUCGAACGAGACCUUCGGGUCUAGUGGCGCACGGGUGCGUAACGCGUGGGAACCUGCCCUUAGGUUCGGAAUAACUCCCCGAAAGGGGUGCUAAUACCGGAUAAUGUCUUCGGCCCAAAGAUUUAUCGCCUUUGGAUGGGCCCGCGUUGGAUUAGCUCGUUGGUAGGGUAAAAGCCUACCAAGGCGACGAUCCAUAGCUGGUCUGAGAGGAUGAUCAGCCACACUGGGACUGAGACACGGCCCAGACUCCUACGGGAGGCAGCAGUGGGGAAUAUUGGACAAUGGGCGAAAGCCUGAUCCAGCAAUGCCGCGUGAGUGAUGAAGGCCUGAGGGUUGUAAAGCUCUUUUACCCGGGAUGAUAAUGACAGUACCGGGAGAAUAAGCUCCGGCUAACUCCGUG
rnacentral:rRNA from 1 species